GUGCAAUGAUGAAGAAACUUAGCUCACUUUGAUUUGCAGUGAAACGACAAGAACUCCUGAGCACC